GGUCGCUUAGCUCAGUUGGUUAGAGCGUGGUGCUAAUACGAGAGCUUGAAUUUACAGGUCAUCACGUGACGCCAAGGUCGCGAGUUCGACCCUCGUAGUGACCA
rnacentral:tRNA from 1 species